CGCCGCGGGUGUGAGCUGCCGCCCCGCCCAUCCUCUCCCACCUCCCGCCCAUCCUCGCCCUCCGCCCGCCGAUCCUCUUCUCCGCCGCCCGCCUUCCUCUGCUCCUCCUCUGCCGCCGACAAUCUCAUCCGAGCCAGUACAGAAUAUUGCCACUCAUCAACAUCUGCAACAUCUGCGGCAUAUAUAAACACUUGAAAUAAUUCAGUUAUGGUUUCUAUCAAUAUAUUGUUUCUACUGCAUAUGUAUUACUUUUAGCUACGCAAUUUCCUCCGACAGCCAAAGGUUUGUCUAUUAGUAUCUUUUGUAUUUGAUAGGAUCUUGUAACGAGAAAAAACCUUCGAAGCAAGAAACAGGAAACAAAAA